rnacentral:rRNA from 1 species
UACAGAGGGUGCGAGCGUUAAUCGGAAUUACUGGGCGUAAAGCGUGUGUAGGUGGUUUGCUAAGUCAGGUGUGAAAUCCCUGGGCUCAACCUAGGAAUUGCAUUUGAUACUGGCAGACUAGAGUGCGGUAGAGGAUGGUGGAAUUCCCGGUGUAGCGGUGAAAUGCGUAGAUAUCGGGAGGAACAUCAGUGGCGAAGGCGGCCAUCUGGACUGACACUGACACUGAGACACGAAAGCGUGGGGAGCGAACAGG